UCACAUGCAUGAUGCAUGAUGUAUACCCUAGCUGGAUAUAAGCGUUGUAAUUUAUUAAGGACUGACUGGCAAAGCCCCAGGGUGGAAGUCUUUCAUGUCUUGCCAGUAACCACUGGUACCUCGAGUGCACUGUAGGUACCUCAACCUCACGCUCCCUGGAUGUGGGCUGAGAUAGCUGUCAAGGUGAUGAAGUCUGCAGACAGCUAAACCCCUUGGAAGCCCAAAGACUCCUGAGCAGCACCGUUUUCUGCCAGGACUGACACCUGCUGCUGCCUUCAGGCUAAGGGCAACCCUGGAGACUUAUACUCCAGCCUGGCCUCAGACUCACUAUGGAGAAGAUGACCCUUGAUUUCUGAUGCUCUUGUUUCCAGCUCUUGAGUGCUAAGAUUGCAAUCCUGGUUCUUGUGGACCUGGAGCCUGAACUGAGGGCUUUAUGCAUGGUUUGCAUGCACUCUAGCAACUAAGCUACAUUCCCAGACCACUUGUUCCUGAAACUUAAACAGUGGGAACUAG
rnacentral:lncRNA from 1 species